GCAGGCUGCAACUCGCCUGCAUGAAGCUGGAAUUGCUAGUAAUCGCGGAUCAGCAAGCCGCGGUGAAUACGUUCCCGGGCCUUGUACACACCGCCCGUCACACCAUGAGAGUCGGGAACACCCGAAGUCCGUAGUCUAACCGCAAGGGGGGCGCGGCCGAAGGUGGGUCCGGUAAUUGGAGUGAAGUCGUAACAAGGUAAC
rnacentral:rRNA from 1 species